rnacentral:rRNA from 1 species
GGGCGCAAGCCUGAUGCAGCCAUGCCGCGUGUGUGAAGAAGGCCUUAGGGUUGUAAAGCACUUUYAGCGAGGAGGAAGGCCCCRCACUUAAUACGUGUGGGGAUUGACGKUACUCGCAGAAGAAGCMCCGGCUAACUYCGUGCCAGCAGCCGCGGUAAUACGGAGGGUGCMAGCGUUAAUYGGAAUUACUGGGCGUAAAGCGCACGCAGGCGGUUUGUUAAGUCAGAUGUGAAAUCCCCGCGCUUAACGUGGGAACUGCAUUUGAAACUGGCAAGCUAGAGUCUUGUAGAGGGGGGUAGAAUUCCAGGUGUAGCGGUGAAAUGCGUAGAGAUCUGGAGGAAUACCGGUGGCGAAGGCGGCCCCCUGGACAAAGACUGACGCUCAGGUGCGAAAGCGUGGGGAGCAAACAGGAUUAGAUACCCUGGUAGUCCACGCUGUAAACGAUGUYGACUUGGAGGUUGKGCCCUUGAGGCGUGGCUWCCGGAGCUAACGCGUURAGUCRACCGCCUKGGAAGU